rnacentral:rRNA from 1 species
GAUGAACGCUGGCGGCGUGCCUAAUACAUGCAAGUCGAGCGAACAGACGAGGAGCUUGCUCCUCUGACGUUAGCGGCGGACGGGUGAGUAACACGUGGAUAACCUACCUAUAAGACUGGGAUAACUUCGGGAAACCGGAGCUAAUACCGGAUAAUAUAUUGAACCGCAUGGUUCAAUAGUGAAAGACGGUUUUGCUGUCACUUAUAGAUGGAUCCGCGCCGCAUUAGCUAGUUGGUAAGGUAACGGCUUACCAAGGCAACGAUGCGUAGCCGACCUGAGAGGGUGAUCGGCCACACUGGAACUGAGACACGGUCCAGACUCCUACGGGAGGCAGCAGUAGGGAAUCUUCCGAAAUGGGCGAAAGCCUGACGGAGCAACGCCGCGUGAGUGAUGAAGGUCUUCGGAUCGUAAAACUCUGUUAUUAGGGAAGAACAAAUGUGUAAGUAACUAUGCACGUCUUGACGGUACCUAAUCAGAAAGCCACGGCUAACUACGU